GGAUGUGAGGGCGAUCUGGCUGCAACUUCUGUCACCCCAUUGAUCACCAGGGUUGAUUCGGCUGAUCUGGCUGGCUACGCGGGUGUCCCCUUCCUCCCUCAACGAUCCAUGUGUGUCCCUCCCGCAGCUGCGCGCUCGGUCGAAGAGGACGACCACCCCCGAUAGAGGAGGACCAUUCCUCAGUCAAGGGUAUACAAGUAGCUGCGCUCCCCUGCGAGAACCUCCAAACAAACUCUCAAAACACACACACACACACACACACACACACACACACUCACAAACUACGACCAAUGU
rnacentral:snRNA from 1 species